GCCCUUAGAGUUUGAUCAUGGCUCAGGACGAACGCUGGCGGCGCGCCUAACACAUGCAAGUCGAACGAGCGAGAGAGAGCUUGCUUUCUCAAGCGAGUGGCGAACGGGUGAGUAACGCGUGAGGAACCUGCCUCAAAGAGGGGGACAACAGUUGGAAACGACUGCUAAUACCGCAUAAGCCCACGGGUCGGCAUCGACCAGAGGGAAAAGGAGCAAUCCGCUUUGAGAUGGCCUCGCGUCCGAUUAGCUAGUUGGUGAGGUAAUGGCCCACCAAGGCAACGAUCGGUAGCCGGACUGAGAGGUUGAACGGCCACAUUGGGACUGAGACACGGCCCAGACUCCUACGGGAGGCAGCAGUGGGGAAUAUUGCACAAUGGGGGAAACCCUGAUGCAGCGACGCCGCGUGGAGGAAGAAGGUCUUCGGAUUGUAAACUCCUGUUGUUGAGGAAGAUAAUGACGGUACUCAACAAGGAAGUGACGGCUAACUACGUGCCAGCAGCCGCGGUAAAACGUAGGUCACAAGCGUUGUCCGGAAUUACUGGGUGUAAAGGGAGCGCAGGCGGGAAGACAAGUUGGAAGUGAAAUCUAUGGGCUCAACCCAUAAACUGCUUUCAAAACUGUUUUUCUUGAGUAGUGCAGAGGUAGGCGGAAUUCCCGGUGUAGCGGUGGAAUGCGUAGAUAUCGGGAGGAACACCAGUGGCGAAGGCGGCCUACUGGGCACCAACUGACGCUGAGGCUCGAAAGUGUGGGUAGCAAACAGGAUUAGAUACCCUGGUAGUCCACACCGUAAACGAUGAUUACUAGGUGUUGGAGGAUUGACCCCUUCAGUGCCGCAGUUAACACAAUAAGUAAU
rnacentral:rRNA from 1 species